rnacentral:lncRNA from 1 species
GGAAUAUUGAGGUAACUAAGUUAAAGAGAGUAAAAAAAUUAGCAGAUGUGUUUAUGCAGCUGAUAUGUGUAGUAUAUUCCUUUAGUUGCAGUUGUUUUGAUGUUGUGUUCAGAGUUAUAGGAUCGAAAUAAUCAGGUCUCAUGCUAGUAAAGUUCAUAUAUGGACAUAGUGCCUAACUCAAGUCCCCCAUCCUUUUGGUCGAUGUGGGAGACUCAACACACUCUCCCCCUCUCAACACGCCCAAGCCUUCCAACUGAAAUGUGGACAAUAUAAUAUGGGAGUCCAACAUCGGUGAAAAAAAGAAUUGGGAUAUGUCCGUCUCUGAUACCACUUGUUGAGAUCGAAAUAAUCAGGUGUCAUGCGGAUAUUAACAAGUGGUAUCAGAGCGAGGUUCAAGACAUAUUCAUCUAGACUGGUUUAGUUCUAGCCGCAACCUAUUUGACGAUAAUCAUGACAAGUGUUUGUUGUUUGAUUUAUCAUCCUUCAAUGUUUGCUUUACUAGCUUCCAUAUGACACCUGAUUAUUUUUAUCCUAACACUAAACACAACAAUUUACUUAAGUUAUUG